rnacentral:rRNA from 1 species
AUUGAACGCUGGCGGCAGGCCUAACACAUGCGAGUCGAACGGUAACAGGAAGAAGCUUGCUUCUUUGCUGACGAGUGGCGGACGGGUGAGUAAUGUCUGGGAAACUGCCUGAUGGAGGGGGAUAACUACUGGAAACGGUAGCUAAUACCGCAUAACGUCGCAAGACCAAAGAGGGGGACCUUCGGGCCUCUUGCCAUCGGAUGUGCCCAGAUGGGAUUAGCUAGUAGGUGGGGUAACGGCUCACCUAGGCGACGAUCCCUAGCUGGUCUGAGAGGAUGACCAGCCACACUGGAACUGAGACACGGUCCAGACUCCUACGGGAGGCAGCAGUGGGGAAUAUUGCACAAUGGGCGCUAGCCUGAUGCAGCCAUGCCGCGUGUAUGAAGAAGGCCUUCGGGUUGUAAAGUACUUUCAGCGGGGAGGAAGGGAGUAAAGUUAAUACCUUUGCUCAUUGACGUUACCCGCAGAAGAAGCACCGGCUAACUCCGUG